GCGGGACAGCCGGAGGCCAUAGCGGCCUCUCCUCCAACUUCAAUGAAUGGUACGUGUGAAGGGCCAGGCCUUUCUCCCAUUCCCUGUUCCCUUAUCCACCGUCGCCCUCCCAAAAACCCACCGAGGGCACCUUAGGAUCAUCUUACUAAAAUUAUGAGUCUGAUUUUUAUGGUGAAAAAAAUUUUACCAGCAGAAGGAUUUUUAAAAGUUUUUUUUUCUUUUUAAAGAAAACAAUCUAGGCAUGAAAAGCAACAUCUCUCUGUAUCUCUGAAGCUGAAAACAUAAAAAAAAUUUUUUGAAGAAAGUAAACUCCACAAAAAUAUCGAGCCAAACUUCCCUAGCAACCCCCAGCCCACUUUCCUUCCCAUAUGCUUCCCAGUCUUUUUGACAAACUGUACAUAGCGGACUCCUUCCUUUUCCACGGUGAUUUUAAUGGCUUAUUGGUGGAUAGAAGUUUGUCCAUUUGUAAACUCCGGAUUGCGUUCCCUCCUGCCUUUCUCCCAUUCCCCUUCCCCAAGUGACGGACCUUUUCUUUUUUCCUUUUAGUUUACCCAGUCUUUUUUUUUUUAAAGUAAUGUGGAAGAAAAUGGUUUAUUUUGUAUUGUGGUAUUAAAUAUUGUGUUCCUUUUAAAUGAGGCAACUUGAUUGUAAACUUCAUGCGACUAUAGACUGGAAAAUAUGAGCCGUGCCAAAGUUUCCCUUCUGUUUCUUCAACACACCAACCCAUAGCACACAUCACCACCACCACCAACGCUUGUGAAUGUAUUUUUCUGUUAGCUGGGUUUACAUGUGAUGUUUCAGUGCUUUUGCGAGUUCGAUUUGUUAGUUCUUGUAUGAAAGUUUGGGGGUGGGGUGGGUGGGAGUAAACGUUGUGCCGUUAGCUUUUUCCGAAAUAACACCCUUCUGUAAAUAUCCGUUGCCAUAUUUAUCCAUUUGUAAUUAAAUUAUGGUAUUAACUUGCUACAGAGGAAACAAUAUUUAUAAAGAAUGUUUCUUAACUAUAAAUAUGUACAAUUGUGGGCAUAAA
rnacentral:lncRNA from 1 species